GACGAACGCUGGCGGCGUGCUUAACACAUGCAAGUCGAACGGAAAGGCCCCGUUGGGGGUACUCGAGUGGCGAACGGGCGAGUAACACGUGAGUAACCUGCCCUUGACUUCGUGAUAACUUCAGGAAACUGGGGCUAAUACCGGCUAGGAAUCCUUGCCGCAUGGUGGGGGUGGGAAAGCUUCGGGGGUUUUGGGUGGACUCGCGGCUUAUCAGCUUGUUUGUGGGGUAGUGGCUUACCAAGGCUUUGACGGGUAGCCGGCCUGACGGGGCGGACGGCCACAAUGGGACUGGGAUACCGCCCAGACUCCUACGGGAGGCAGCAGUGGGGGAUAUUGGACAAUGGGCGGGAGCCUGAUGCAGGAACGCCGCGUGCGGGGUGGCGGCCUUCGGGUUGUAAACCGCUUUCCGCAGGUGCGAAGCUUGUGGUGACGGUACCGGCUGAAGAAGCACCGGCUAACUACGUG
rnacentral:rRNA from 1 species